GGACUACUGGGGUAUCUAAUCCCGUUUGCUCCCCUGGCUUUCGCGCCUCAGCGUCAGAAGAGGUCCAGCGUAUCGCUUUCGCCACCGGCGUUCCUUCCGAUCUCUACGCAUUUCACCGCUCCACCGGAAGUUCCACACGCCCCUACCUCCCUCCAGACCAUCAGUAUCAGGGGCUCUUCUACGGUUGAGCCGCAGGAUUUCACCCUUGACUUGAUAGCCCGCCUACGCGCCCUUUAAGCCCAGUGAUUCCGAACAACGUUCGCACGGUUCGUCUUACCGCGGCUGCUGGCAC
rnacentral:rRNA from 1 species